GUUAAACCAAUUCCUGUUGUUUCCUCAAUGUUAGCGAGCUUCCACAUGGUGAGUUUUUCCGUAUGGUCAGGCUGGCUUGGAUAACCAGGAGCAGGCCGAAUUCCCUCGUAUUUAAUUUUGCGUAGUUCAGAAAGGUCUAGCUGCUCAUCACUACAGUAAGCCCAGAAUUCCCUUCUAACUCUUUCAUGGAGCUCCUCAGCAAAUGCCUCAGCCAGUCGAUCUCCAAGAGCCUUUACCAUUAUGAUAUUGUACUCAUCAUCCUGCCUCCUAAACUCAUUGCAUA
rnacentral:lncRNA from 1 species